GACGAACGCUGGCGGCGUGCUUAACACAUGCAAGUCGAACGGAAAGGCCCUGCUUUUGUGGGGUGCUCGAGUGGCGAACGGGUGAGUAACACGUGAGUAACCUGCCCUUGACUUUGGGAUAACUUCAGGAAACUGAGGCUAAUACCGGAUAGGAGCUCCUGCUGCAUGGUGGGGGUUGGAAAGUUUCGGCGGUUGGGGAUGGACUCGCGGCUUAUCAGCUUGUUGGUGGGGUAGUGGCUUACCAAGGCUUUGACGGGUAGCCGGCCUGAGAGGGUGACCGGCCACAUUGGGACUGAGAUACGGCCCAGACUCCUACGGGAGGCAGCAGUGGGGAAUAUUGCACAAUGGGCGGAAGCCUGAUGCAGCAACGCCGCGUGCGGGAUGACGGCCUUCGGGUUGUAAACCGCCUUCGCCUGUGACGAAGCGUGAGUGACGGUAAUGGGUAAAGAAGCACCGGCUAACUACGUG
rnacentral:rRNA from 1 species